rnacentral:misc_RNA from 1 species
UGCAACAAUCUACAACACUGUAUAUCUAGUGUUUUAGUUUUUGCAUUUGGGAGCAUAUUUGUUGUUCUUUAAGUUGGCAAGGAAUUCCAUUUCUGCUUUCAAAUUGCAUUUUUUUGAGUCUUGACGAAAAGGGAAGUCUGCAUCUCAUGAACUAUAAUGAGUGCUUAAAACAUUAUAGUUCAGUAGGGUUAGCUUGCUUUUCAAUGUUUUGCUCAGCAGGGUUAAGAGUCAUCUCUCAUCCAGGUGGCGAACUACUUGGUUGCAUAGUGUGGUUUGGUUCUAAUUAUCAUGCUUU